GGAAGUAAUCGUAACAAGGUUUCCGUAGGUGAACCUGCGGAAGGAUCAUUAUUGGAUUUUGAAACUUCAGGCUGCUGCUGGCUCUCCUCGGAGGGCAUGUGCACGCUUGUUGUCCAUUAUUUCUCCCACUGUGCACAAAUUGUAGACCUUUCAGUAGGCCUAUGUUGUUUUUCACAAUCUCUGAAUGUAAUAGAAUGGUUUUGAAUCUUGGGAAAUACAAUACAACUUUCAGCAACGGAUCUCUUGGCUCUC
rnacentral:misc_RNA from 1 species